CUGUUGCAAUAAUAAUCAGCAUAGUUUAGAUACAACCCCACUCAAUGGCAUAGGGGACUUCUUCUAUGAGAAUAGUUUAUCUUUUCUCUCUCUAUAGUUGGCAGCAGACAACCGCAGCAAGCUGUCAUUCAAGUGAUCUUACUAAUAAGAUUUCUUUGCCCAAGAAAAGACGAAUUAAUGCCCCUGCAAUCGUAAUGGUUGCUCCCUAUUCCUUACAAUAAGUAUGCGCCAC
rnacentral:lncRNA from 1 species